rnacentral:tRNA from 1 species
CUCAUAGCUCAGCGGUAGAGUGCCUCCCUUGCAAGGAGGAUGCCCUGGGUUCGAAUCCCAGUGAGUC